GGGGUUCCUGGUGAUGCGAUUUUUUUUCAACACUGAAAAUCACAUUGCCAGGGAUUUCCA
rnacentral:pre_miRNA from 1 species